rnacentral:rRNA from 1 species
GACGAACGCUGGCGGCGUGCUUAACACAUGCAAGUCGAACGGUAAGGCCCUUUCGGGGGUACACGAGUGGCGAACGGGUGGGUAACACGUGGGUGAUCUGCCCUGCACUUUGGGAUAAGCCUGGGAAACUGGGUCUAAUACCGGAUAGGACUACGCGAUGCAUGUCGUGUGGUGGAAAGCUUUUGCGGUGUGGGAUGGGCCCGCGGCCUAUCAGCUUGUUGGUGGGGUGAUGGCCUACCAAGGCGACGACGGGUAGCCGGCCUGAGAGGGUGUCCGGCCACACUGGGACUGAGAUACGGCCCAGACUCCUACGGGAGGCAGCAGUGGGGAAUAUUGCACAAUGGGCGCAAGCCUGAUGCAGCGACGCCGCGUGGGGGAUGACGGCCUUCGGGUUGUAAACCCCUUUCAGCACAGACGAAGCGUAAGUGACGGUAUGUGCAGAAGAAGCACCGGCCAACUACGUG